rnacentral:misc_RNA from 1 species
CUUGCGAGUUGCGUUGCGACUUGCUUGGUUCGCGUGUUUGAGGAAACCGCGUGGACUACAGAUCAUAAGAGUUGAAGUUGACCUUGUAAUUUCCUUGCAAGCCUUUCGAUGUUCGAGGAUCUGAAGGUCCAGAUAUUUCGCUUCUGUCUCUCUUAAUUUGGAGACAGCUUCCGCAGAUUUGCCUGAUUUACACAGUCUUAUCUCACCGGAUUGAAGCCCAAGGUUAGAAUUUUCUCGCAUUUGCCUUAUUGUUCUGGGGUUUUUAUCUUGGGUUGGUGAGAUCAGAUGGCAGAGGCAAGCGCGAACUCACGAUAUGUGAAGUUGACAAAAGAGCAAACGGCUGUAGAGGACAUUAAGCCUGGCGAACUCAAUCAGCCCAUCGAAGUUCCUCAGUUGGCUGUUCGCAAGUGCAAUGAAUGUGGGCAGCCUUUGCCCGAAAACUUUGAGCCUCCUGCAGAUGAACCUUGGACGACUGGGAUUUUUGGCUGUACUGAAGAUACUGAAAGUUGCUGGGCAGGACUAUUUUGUCCUUGUGUUCUAUUUGGAAGAAAUGUUGAAAGCUUGAGAGAUGAUACCCCUUGGACUAGACCAUGCAUUUGUCAUGCCAUUUGUGUUGAAGGUGGAAUGGCACUGGCAGCAGCAACAGCAAUCUUCCAUGGUGUUGACCCAAGGACAUCAUUUCUAAUUUGCGAGGGUUUACUUUUUGCUUGGUGGAUGUGUGGCAUAUACACUGGUCUUGUUCGGCAAUCACUGCAGAGGAAAUAUCACCUGAAGAACUCACCGUGUGAUCCAUGCUUGGUGCACUGUUGCAUGCACUGGUGUGCUUUGUGCCAGGAACACAGGGAGAUGAAGGGCCGCCUUUCAGAUAACUUUGUCAUGCCAAUGGCCAUUGUCAAUCCUCCCCCUGUUCAAGAGAUGAGCUCUGCUACCGAGAACCGGGAU